GGCCCGGUAGCGGAUGCGCCGCGCCUGCGUUCCAUAGAGUGGAAAUCGUUCGUUCUGCAGGAGUUGCUCGUUCGAAUCGAGCCCGGGCCU